rnacentral:lncRNA from 1 species
CAAGAGGGUGCAGGAAGCCUGAGGACUCAUUUCUCCUGUGCAGGAAUGUGACGUUUGCUGUAUGAUCAGCGUCGGCACCUCUCUUGAUAAGUUUAGCUUCACAAAGGCAGAGUGUUCCCAUGGCGUUACCCGCAGGAGCAUCGCACCUCCAGCAACACGGGUACGUGGUACUUCGCUGAAGCUUGGGAGUAGCAGAGAUUGAACUGGACGGCCUCUAAAUAAGCAGCAAGGUGGAGACAGCAGAAGAAACUAAAGGAAUUAGAGAAUUCAAAGCGGACGGACAUUGCAAAGCCUGCCCGGAUGUCGUCUUCGCAUCAGUGGGAGCAAGAACGUUUGUGGGUAGCUUGGCCUAGCGCAGCGGCUGCAGGUGAGGCGACUCUUGCUCCGUGCGUGACGCUCUGCAGAAGGCAGCGGCUCCUGAACCCGGAGCGACCCAAAGAGCUUUACUUCCGCCGCUGUCCUCUGCGAAUAAAAUAAUAAAGAUGUCCUUGCCAGGUUUAACGGUUGCUUCAGAAACGCAAAGCCCCUAUUUUUUUUGGAGACAGCUGCUGUCUGUCUGAUCAAGCAACAGGCCUUUGCGGCAAACCAAACUAAAAAGGGAGGCGGCAGCUUCACCUCCGAGCGCCUCCCGCCACCGCCAACCCCACG